AUGUUUCCGUUCAAGUUUAAGAGGAAGCAAUUUCCUAUAAGGCUUAGCUUUGCUAUGACCAUUAACAAGGUUCAAGGGCGGACCAUCCCGAUUGUUGGUGUCUACCUACCCAAUCCCGUGUUCUCACAUGGUCAGCUCUAUGUUGCUUUGUCUCUAGCCACCGCGAAGAGAAACAUAAAGAUACUCAUUCAGAAGGAGAAGCCGAAGGAGAAGACCAAAAAGCAAAAGGACAAUCCAAAGAAGCGAAAAAGAACGACCGUGUCCUUACUGACCUCGAUGAAGAACAUCGUCUGCAAGGAAGUCCUUACAGGCUGA
rnacentral:rRNA from 1 species